CAGACACAACAAUCAAAACCCCUGGCCAUCAAAAGCUCUGACAAUCUUCAGGCUCUUACCCACAGCACCAACAUUGGUUCAUCAGAAAAAGAAAAAGAUGGGCAGAGCUGAGAAAGAGCAACUGAACAAAACCCUGAAUUCCUACCUCAACACCAUCCAUGAAACCUUACAGGUGUUGGAUCAAAGCCCAGCUUCUUCUCUUGACAAAGUGAGCUGGGAGGAGGUGAUCAAAAUGGGUGACCAAGUCUCCAAGCAAGCUACCAUGGGUAUUCUGCUAUCUAUUCUCUAAGUAUUUCAGCUUUUUUACACUCCAUUUUGAUUUUUGUGAGAUGGGUUCUAUUUUAUUUUGAGGUAUAUGUUGGACAUCCUUAGUCAAUUGUUAAAAAUAUUUUAUUUUGGUUUGUAAAGAAAUUAUUAAAAAAAAAAA